rnacentral:rRNA from 1 species
AUUGAAUGCUGGCGGCAGGCUUAACACAUGCAAGUCGAGCGGAGCGAGGGUGCUUGCACCUUAGCUUAGCGGCGGACGGGUGAGUAAUGCUUAGGAAUCUGCCCAUUAGUGGGGGACAACAUUCCGAAAGGGAUGCUAAUACCGCAUACGCCCUACGGGGGAAAGCAGGGGAUCUUCGGACCUUGCGCUAAUAGAUGAGCCUAAGUCGGAUUAGCUAGUUGGUGGGGUAAAGGCCUACCAAGGCGACGAUCUGUAGCGGGUCUGAGAGGAUGAUCCGCCACACUGGGACUGAGACACGGCCCAGACUCCUACGGGAGGCAGCAGUGGGGAAUAUUGGACAAUGGGGGGAACCCUGAUCCAGCCAUGCCGCGUGUGUGAAGAAGGCCUUUUGGUUGUAAAGCACUUUAAGCGAGGAGGAGGCGCUCUAGGAUAAUACCCUAGAUGCGUGGACGUUACUCGCAGAAUAAGCACCGGCUAACUCUGUGCCAGCCGCCGCAGUAACAC